UACGUAGGGUGCGAGCGUUGUCCGGAAUUACUGGGCGUAAAGAGCUCGUAGGUGGUUUGUCGCGUUGUUCGUGAAAACUCACAGCUCAACUGUGGGCGUGCGGGCGAUACGGGCAGACUAGAGUACUGCAGGGGAGACUGGAAUUCCCGGUGUAGCGGUGAAAUGCGCAGAUAUCGGGAGGAACACCCGUAGCGAAGGCGGCACUCUGGGCCGGUACUGACGCUGAGGAGCGAAAGCGUGGGGAGCAAACAGG
rnacentral:rRNA from 1 species